rnacentral:rRNA from 1 species
AACGAACGCUGGCGGCAUGCCUAACACAUGCAAGUCGAACGAGACCUUCGGGUCUAGUGGCGCACGGGUGCGUAACGCGUGGGAAUCUGCCCUUGGGUUCGGAAUAACAGUUGGAAACGACUGCUAAUACCGGAUGAUGACGUAAGUCCAAAGAUUUAUCGCCCAAGGAUGAGCCCGCGUAGGAUUAGCUAGUUGGUGAGGUAAAGGCUCACCAAGGUGACGAUCCUUAGCUGGUCUGAGAGGAUGAUCAGCCACACUGGGACUGAGACACGGCCCAGACUCCUACGGGAGGCAGCAGUGGGGAAUAUUGGACAAUGGGCGAAAGCCUGAUCCAGCAAUGCCGCGUGAGUGAUGAAGGCCUUAGGGUUGUAAAGCUCUUUUACCCGGGAUGAUAAUGACAGUACCGGGAGAAUAAGCUCCGGCUAACUCCGUG